rnacentral:rRNA from 1 species
AUACGUAGGUCCCGAACGUUGCGCGAAAUUACUGGGCGUAAAGGGUCCGUAGGCGGUCUGGUAAGUGGAAGGUGAAAGCCUGGGGCUCAACUCCAGAAUUGCCUUCCAAACUGCCGGACUUGAGGCAGGGAGAGGUCGGCGGAAUUCCCGGUGUAGUGGUGAAAUGCGUAGAUAUCGGGAGGAACACCAGUGGCGAAGGCGGCCGACUGGAACUGUCCUGACGCUGAGGGACGAAAGCCAGGGGAGCGAACCGGAGUAGAAACCCUAGUAGUCC